GGGGAAUUGCCUUAGUACGGCGAGUGAAGCGGCAAAAGCUCAAAUUUGAAAUCUGGUACCUUCGGUGCCCGAGUUGUAAUUUGGAGAGGGCAACUUUGGGGCCGUUCCUUGUCUAUGUUCCUUGGAACAGGACGUCAUAGAGGGUGAGAAUCCCGUGUGGCGAGGAGUGCGGUUCUUUGUAAAGUGCCUUCGAAGAGUCGAGUUGUUUGGGAAUGCAGCUCUAAGUGGGUGGUAAAUUCCAUCUAAAGCUAAAUAUUGGCGAGAGACCGAUAGCGAACAAGUACAGUGAUGGAAAGAUGAAAAGAACUUUGAAAAGAGAGUGAAAAAGUACGUGAAAUUGUUGAAAGGGAAGGGCAUUUGAUCAGACAUGGUGUUUUGUGCCCUCUGCUCCUUGUGGGUAGGGGAAUCUCGCAUUUCACUGGGCCAGCAUCAGUUUUGGUGGCAGGAUAAAUCCAUAGGAAUGUAGCUUGCCUCGGUAAGUAUUAUAGCCUGUGGGAAUACUGCCAGCUGGGACUGAGGACUGCGACGUAAGUCAAGGAUGCUGGCAUAAUGGUUAUAUGCCGCCCGUCUUGACU
rnacentral:rRNA from 1 species